GAUGAACGCUAGCGGCAGGCUUAACACAUGCAAGUCGAGGGGCAGCACGUCUUCGGAUGGUGGCGACCGGCGCACGGGUGAGUAACGCGUAUGCAAUCUACCUUUUACAGGGGCAUAGCCCGGGGAAACCCGGAUUAAUAUCCUAUAGUACCAUUAUAUAGCAUUAUAUUAUGGUUAAAGUUUCGGCGGUAAAAGAUGAGCAUGCGUCCUAUUAGCUUGAUGGUAAGGUAACGGCUUACCAUGGCUAUGAUAGGUAGGGGUCCUGAGAGGGAGACCCCCCACACUGGUACUGAGACACGGACCAGACUCCUACGGGAGGCAGCAGUGAGGAAUAUUGGACAAUGGGCGAGAGCCUGAUCCAGCCAUGCCGCGUGUAGGAAGACGGCCCUAUGGGUUGUAAACUGCUUUUAUACGGGAAGAAACACCCCUUCGUGAAGGGACUUGACGGUACCGUAUGAAUAAGGAUCGGCUAACUCCGUGCCAGCAGCCGCGGUAAUACGGAGGAUCC
rnacentral:rRNA from 1 species